GAAGACUGGGGGCAGUGCCAGUCCAGGAGAGGGAAGUCACAUUGAAAGUGGCAUCACGAUGCUGUGCUCCAGUCUCCAGCCAGGCAUGAGGUCCAAGCCACACUGCAGAGAUCGUUUUAUGAAAAAGUGAAAACUCACAGCAUAUCCCAGGAGUAAUCAUACAGAACUGAUCCAGAAUUUGGAGGUUCACUUGCAUCUACAAAAUGCUGGAGCCAUGUAACAAGGUGCAAAAUCUGUAUAUGGCACAUCCAUCCGAUCCAGGUGAAACCGUCAGACCCAUGAUGAAGCCGGCAUGAAGCUGUUAGCAUUAGAAGGUAGGUAUCUGAUGUUUUUCUCUCAUAUGUCUUAGCGUCUCCUAUGUUUAAUCUUUUCAGCAAAAAAAAAAAAGAAAGAAAAGAAAAAGCCUGGUGGCACGUAGGAGGUGGUAAAGCAGCACCAGGGUCCAGUACACUUAGCUGACCACGAUUUGUCUUUGUAAAUAAAGAUGACUUUGAACUUUUGCUUCUUCUACGUCCUGUAUACUGAGUUACAGGUGUAUGGUGCCACACCUUUUUAAUAUGCUGCUGGGUAUUAAAUACAGAGAUUGCUGAAUGAUAGUAAGCACAAUACUAGCUCAACCACACAUAUCCAGGUCCUCAUUUAAUAUUUUUAGUGGCUGCUCUUGUCCCACAGUUGAGUAGUGUCAGAGACCACAUGUGGUCUUCAACCCCUGAACUGUUUACUAUUUAUCUCUUUACAUGAUAUCUUUGAGGAUCCUAAAUUAUGUUUGUGUCUCCAUUGCCAUCCUUAGUCCCUGGCCUUUAUCUCAUUGUCAUGCGUGAGUGAUGAUGUCACAGAGAGCCCCUGGAAGCCUUGCUGAUCACCCAGAACCUCACUGGAGCUUUCUGUGGAAGAUGACUUUAGUCAGCAUAUCAUGACAGACUGGAGAAGUCUUCAUUCCUCUGAGAAGAGAAGUAGUAUUACCUGGAGCCAAAGGGAUAAAGAGCAGCACCAGUGUCUUUCCUCAUAGCACCAGGUCUCCCUGCAGAAAGUGGCAGAUCUACCCCCAAAUGCUCUGCUAAGAUGAGUAGGUAUUUUUCUCCAAAGAUGGAGAUGUAGCAGAUGGUUGAUCUCUCCAGGAGGAGAGAAUCAGAUAGAGGAAGAAAAAUGAAGUGGGCUGUGGUUUGGAAGAAGCCCGCUGAGUUGCAGCAUAGCUCCAUUGAGAGAAGCCCCAGCCACAGCACAGUUUCCAUUGCAGUGACCAGAUGGAAGGGCAGAGAGCACACAAGUCUUACCUUGACUCUCAGGACCUGCUUAGCAUAGCACACAGCCUCGUUCUCCAUUACCCAGCUCUGUGGUCUCCCUCCAGUGAUCAAAGACAUAACAUCAGAGGGUUCACCUUCACUUAAUCACAGCUGUGAGCUUUCAAAAUGCAUUUUAUGGUGAACAGACUCGGAUGGGUGGAGAGUGCAAGGAAACUGGUUUCUGGCAAGAUCCUGGGAAGAGAAUCAAACUGAAUGUGCGUUGGGGUUGGGGGUGUUUCAAAAGAAAAAUGGGGUAACAGUAAAGAACAGUUAGUGGAAGCAAAGAAUAGAGGAAUGCCUGUGUAAUAAGAACUGUUGCCUGAUCCCCCAUUUUUAUUGUGCCAUAGACUGGUUAUGCAGUAUAAAUGGGUUGAAAAGGCCUCUUCUAGGGGAGCUUGCUCAGUCUUGAACCCUGGGGUUGACUGGCAUACUCAGAGGGUAAUGAAUUGAAACUUCAUGAGGAAAAAUGUGUUCAAGAACUCCACUCCCCAGAAACAAGGAAACUACAUGAUGGUGCCAGCCAAUAAUGACUCCUAGGGAGACAGAGAGAGCCUGAGGCAAAGUCAUUGAAAAGCAGGAGACAGCAGAUUGUGUGUGUGUGUGUGUGUGUGUGUGUGUGUGUGUGUGUGUGUGUGUGUGUGUGUAGGAGACCUUACUCAGCUCUUUAUCAAAUUGGAUAUCAGAAGGAUCUGGAAAGCAAAGUAGCAAUAGUAGCUGAUAGUGAGUCAACACAGUGUAUGUGCCCAUGUGUGUAGAUAAUGGUUGGAAUUGUGGGUGUCUUCUGGGUAGACAGCUAGUGUAUCAGUGGAGGGUUAUUACAUCUCUAUUAUUGUGGAUUAUGAAGACCAUAAGUAUGUAAUGUGUGGAGAGCUUUUGGUGCCACUCAAAGAAAUUUUGGCAAGUGCUUGUCACUGGGCUCAAAGAAGUAGGCUCAGAUAAGAAUAUUCAUAUUUGAGUUAAAGCAAGGCUCAAGGUAAAGACAGCCAGGGAAUGUGUGACUUCCCUUUUGUCUUGAUAAUUCUAUUAAGCACCCCAGACCCUAUUGCUUUCUUUGAUUGCUACCUGUUAUUAUCUCUUUGAUCUUUACCUUGCUUGAUCACAUUGUCUUUGAUCUGAGAACUGACCAUAUUCGUUAAAUGAACCUAGAUUGAUAUAAAAGCAGACUGAGAAAAAAUAAAAAUGCUUCAGCCUCAGCACUGGCUGGAGUAGUUUCAUAGUUUUGUCUAAUUGUCUUUUUUUCUUUUCAAUCCUCACUCCCUCCCUACAGGUUAGCAUUCUGUCUAAGCUCCACCCCCAUAGUUACCUGGCAAUAGCCGGUAUGCCUGACUCACUAUAAUAGGGGCUGCUUGCCCCCUCCUCAUUCUUUUGCUCUCGAUCUCUUCCCCUCUUCCCUUUGUCCCUUCUUUCCCCCAUUCCCUUCCACAUGCUCAUGGCCAGCCUUUACUCCUCUCCUCUUCUACUCAUUUUCUCUCAUUAAACCUUUCCAUGUGGAA